CCUACGGGAGGCAGCAGUAGGGAAUAUUGCUCAAUGGGGGAAACCCUGAAGCAGCAACGCCGCGUGGAGGAUGAAGGUUUUCGGAUUUUAAACUCCUUUUGUUAGAGAAGAUAAUGACGGUAUCUAACGAAUAAGCACCGUCUAACUCCGUGCCAGCAGCCGCGAUAAUACGGAGGGUGCAAGCGUUACUCGGAAUAACUGGGCGUAAAGAGCGCGUAGGCGGGAUAGCAAGUCAGAUGUGAAAUCCUAUGGCUUAACCAUAAAACUGCAUUUGAAACUGUUAUUCUUGAGUAUGGUAGAGGUAGGUGGAAUUCUUGGUGGAGGGGUAAAAUCCGUAGAGAUCAAGAGGAAUACUCAUUGCGAAGGCGACCUGCUAGAACAUAACUGACGCUGAUGCGCGAAAGCGUGGGGAGCAAACAGGAUUAGAUACCCCAGUAGUC
rnacentral:rRNA from 1 species